AGAACGAACGCUGGCGGCAGGCCUCAAACAUGCAAGUCUAGGGGGUGUAGCAAUACAUCACCGGCGGACGGGUGCGUAACGCGUGGGAAUGUACCUAUUGGUUCGGAACAACUGAGGGAAACUUCAGCUAAUACCGGAUGAGCCCGAAAGGGGAAAGAUUUCUCGCCAAUAGAUCAGCCCGCGUCCGAUUAGCUAGUUGGUGGGGUUAAAGCCUACCAAGGCGACGAUCGGUAGCUGUUCUGAGAGGAAGAUCAGCCACACUGGGACUGAGACACGGCCCAGACUCCUACGGGAGGCAGCAGUUGGGAAUCUUGGACAAUGGGGGAAACCCUGAUCCAGCCAUGCCGCGUGAGUGAUGAAGGCCUUGGGUUGUAAAACUCUUUCGACGGGACGAUAAUGACGGUACCCGUAGAAGAAGCUCCGGCUAACUUCGUGCCAGCAGCCGC
rnacentral:rRNA from 1 species